CGGACGGGUGAGUAACGCGUGAGAAUCUCCCUUCAGGAUGGGGACAACCGUUGGAAACGACGGCUAAUCCCCAAUGUGCCGAGAGGUGAAAGGGUUUCCGCCUGAAGAAGAGCUCGCGUCCGAUUAGUUAGUUGGUGAGGUAAGAGCUCACCAAGGCAGCGAUCGGUAGCUGGUCUGAGAGGAUGAGCAGCCACACUGGGACUGAGACACGGCCCAGACUCCUACGGGAGGCAGCAGUGGGGAAUUUUCCGCAAUGGGCGAAAGCCUGACGGAGCAACGCCGCGUGUGGGAAGAAGGCUCUUGGGCUGUCAACCACUUUUCUCAGGGAAGAAGUUCUGACGGUACCUGAGGAAUCAGCCUCGGCUAACUCCGUGCCAGCAGCCGCGGUAAUACGGAGGAGGCAAGCGUUAUCCGGAAUUAUUGGGCGUAAAGCGUCCGCAGGGGGCGCAUCGAGUCUGCUGUUAAAGGCUGGAGCUUAACUCCGGUAGAGCAGUGGAAACUGGUGCGCUAGAGGGCGACAGGGGUAGAGGGAAUUCCCAGUGUAGCGGUGAAAUGCGUAGAGAUUGGGAAGAACACCGGUGGCGAAAGCGCUCUACUGGGUCGCACCUGACCCUCAGGGACGAAAGCUAAGGUAGCGAAUGGGAUUAGAUACCCCAGUAGUC
rnacentral:rRNA from 1 species